rnacentral:rRNA from 1 species
GACAGAGGAUGCAAGCGUUAUCCGGAAUGAUUGGGCGUAAAGCGUCCGCAGGUGGCUAUGUAAGUCUGCUGUUAAAGAGUGAGGCUCAACCUCAUAAGAGCAGUGGAAACUACAUGGCUAGAGUGCGUUCGGGGCAGAGGGAAUUCCUGGUGUAGCGGUGAAAUGCGUAGAUAUCAGGAAGAACACCGGUGGCGAAAGCGCUCUGCUAGGCCGCAACUGACACUGAGGGACGAAAGCUAGGGGAGCGAAUGGG